rnacentral:rRNA from 1 species
UACGUAGGGUGCAAGCGUUGUCCGGAAUUAUUGGGCGUAAAGAGCUCGUAGGUGGUUUGUCGCGUUGUUCGUGAAAACCGGAGGCUCAACCUCUGGCGUGCGGGCGAUACGGGCAGACUUGAGUACUGCAGGGGAGACUGGAAUUCCUGGUGUAGCGGUGGAAUGCGCAGAUAUCAGGAGGAACACCGGUGGCGAAGGCGGGUCUCUGGGCAGUAACUGACGCUGAGGAGCGAAAGCGUGGGGAGCGAACAGG